GGUUGUGAUCAUACCAGCACUAAUGCACCGGAUCCCAUCAGAACUCCGCAGUUAAGCGUGCUUGGGCGAGAGUAGUACUAGGAUGGGUGACCCCCUGGGAAGUCCUCGUGUUGCAACCC
rnacentral:rRNA from 1 species